rnacentral:rRNA from 1 species
UACAGGGGGUGCAAACGUUGCUCGGAAUUAUUGGGCGUAAAGCGCGCGUAGGCGGCUACUUAAGUCGGAUGUGAAAGCCCUUGGCUCAACUGAGGAAGUGCACCCGAAACUGAGUGGCUUGAGUACUAAAGAGGGUCGCGGAAUUCCCGGUGUAGAGGUGAAAUUCGUAGAUAUAGGAAGGAACACCAGUGGCGAAGGCGACCACCUGGACUGAUACUGACACUGAGGUGCGAAAGCGUGGGGAGCAAACAGG